GACAUUGUGGAAGGCGAUUAGGAAGAGGUCUCCCUGAUUCAGGCCUGGUGAGGGAGGAGGUGGGGCCGCCUGAGUUCAGCAGCUCAGCGGGUGUUAACUAGGAAGCAGUGCGAGGUGCAGCCAGGGCAGGAAAGGAGGACAGUCCCGCCCUCUGGGGCCUGGGCCACUGACAGCGGGGUCGGGCGGUGGGGAGCAGAUGAGUGGAGCCUGGAGUCCCCAGUCCUCCAGCUUAGCGUGACUCAGUGUGUGAACUUCUCACUGGGGACCCCUCUGUGCCUGACCCCGCCUAGAGGGGCAGAUGACACGAAAAUCAACCACUGCAUCCCCAGGACCGCCACACGUCCACCGAAGGAACAGCUGUAGCUGCCGGAGGGAAGCUGUGGGCCCUACAGGGUUCUUCUAUAUUUUCUCUGAAGAAUCCUGGUGGGGACUUUUAUAAGCGGAAUUAGCCAGGAAGAAACAUAUAUACCUAACCCCAGAGACAUAAUAAAGUUCACUUGCAGUGCUUCUGUGAGUGCUGAGAGGAUUUCGCGGCUGCUUCUCAUCCCUGGAGCUUCUCAUCGCCUCCUCUUGUCCUGUUGGUUAGUCGUCUCCUUCUUGGGGUCCUAAUUAAAAAAAAAAAAAACUGGCUUCCACUGGCUUCUGGGAAUUUCUACUCCUCCUUCAGCAAAGCAGGACUUACAACUAUUACCUUCCUAUCCCCAGGGUGUGGAAAGACUACGCUGUGAGGAUGCAUAAGAAUGAUACAGUGGACUCUGGGAACCUGGGGGAGAGGGUGGGAGGUGGGUGAGGGAUGAAAGACUACACACUGGGUACAGUGUACACUGCUUGGGUGAUGGGUGCACCAAAACCUCAGAAAUCACAACUAAAGAACUUACUCAUGUAACCAAACACCACUGUUCCCCCAAAACCUAUUGAAAUAAAAAAUAAAUUUAAAAAUAAAGACUAGGCUGAACUUCAAAGAAGACUCUACCUAAGCCCAAGGAAGAUUAAAAAAAAAGACGCAAACAGAGUGCAACAUGAGAUUAGAUUUUCCGGAAUAUAAGAGAUGACCUAUUUGCCUUGACCUCACGUGCCCCUCUGCCCAGCUUCUGGAACUCCUGCGGUGGCUCAGAGUCAUAGCCCUCCUGUGACCCUCUCCUGAAAAGGUGUGCACAGAAGAGCAGGCCUAGAAGCUUCACAAGAGAAUGAGGCCCAACAACUCCUAAAAAUACCUAAUUCUCACCAGCAGAAGUCCUGUCCUUCAAGUUUUAAAUUCUAUAUGAAGACAGAGGAAAGGCUCUGCCUUCGCUGACAGGAUCCAGAGUAAGACUACAGCAGGACAAUUCACAGCACACCGCUGUCAGCCCACUGAGGGUGAUUCUACCCGAGGCUGCCCUGGCGACUCUGACAAUGUGGCCUGUGCCGCCAAGACCAUCUGCAUUCAGUCUACAUUCGCCAUGAGACCUCUCAUGCUCUUCCUCUAAUUCCACAUGGAAAGUGGUGAAGGGUCUGUUUAUUUACACCUGGGAAUGUCUGUGUCUUUGUAGAAUAAACUGAAGGCUAAGGCAACUCUUUGGAAGACCAUUCCACCUGGAAACCAACGAUCUAAUUUUGCUUCAAAACUUCCCUGUCUCUGUAGAGCUCACAGCGGUCUUCGCAACCACAUGCUACAAGCUUGUUCACCAUUCCCUUGAGGCUGCAUAAAUACAUUAUUCGCUUCUGAGCCCUGCCUCUCAGGGGUCUGCUUUUCUUCAGCCAAGUGUCCCACGGUGUGUCCAGAAUUGUGUGAUAGCAGUGAGGGAAACCACCAAGAUGACAAUUUACUUACUGUCUCUUGGACCUCUCUCGCCCCUCCCCGGGACCUCAGGCUGCCUUUGCUCUAAGAAGGGCCAGGAAGCACUGUGGCUGGUGAGGAGACCAGGCCAGGAUUAAAGGGCGUGGGCAAGUUAGAAAGUGGUCUGGACACCCCUUGUCGCCACUGGAACUCCCACUUCACAUCCAUUACGUCAGGAUUCUGGGGGUAGGGCUUGGGCACCCAUGUUUUCUAGAGCUCUGAAAGCGGUUCCCAUAUGCAGCGGGGGUUGGGACUUCACCUCUACUGCUUUGAACAAAAGGUCCCGUGAGCGCAGAGGUGAUUGUGUUUUCC
rnacentral:lncRNA from 10 species